GUGUCAGCAGCCGCGGUAAUACGUAGGUGGCAAGCGUUGUCCGGAUUUAUUGGGUUUAAAGGGUGCGUAGGCGGCUUGAUAAGUCAGUGGUGAAAGCCGAUCGCUUAACGAUCGAACUGCCAUUGAUACUACCAGGCUUGAGUAUAGAUGAGGUAGGCGGAAUUGACAGUGUAGCGGUGAAAUGCAUAGAUAUUGUCAAGAACACCAAUUGCGAAGGCAGCUUACUAAGUUAUAACUGACGCUGAGGCACGAAAGUGCGGGGAUCAAACAGGAUUAGAAACCCCAGUAGUCC
rnacentral:rRNA from 1 species